GUUCCACAGGGAUGCUGGCCCCAUGUUGACUCUACAAGGUGUUGAAAGUGUUCCACAGGGAUGCUGGCCCAUGUUGACUCUACAAGGUGUUGAAAGUGUUCCACAGGGAUGCUGGCCCAUGUUGACUCUACAAGGUGUUGAAAGUGUUCCACAGGGAUGCUGGCCCAUGUUGACUCUACAAGGUGUUGAAAGUGUUCCACAGGGAUGCUGGCCCAUGUUGACUCUACAAGGUGUUGAAAGUGUUCCACAGGGAUGCUGGCCCAUGUUGACUCUACAACGUGUUGAAAGUG